rnacentral:rRNA from 1 species
AGAGUUUGAUUAUGGCUCAGGACGAACGCUGGCGGCGUGCUUAACACAUGCAAGUUGAACGGUAUGACAUGGAAGCUUGCUGAAGUGUCAUAUAGUAGCGGACGGGUGAGUAAUGCAUGAGAAGCUGCCAUUGGAGGGGGACAACAGUUGGAAACGGCUGCUAAUACCCCGUAUGCCGGAAGGUGAAAGGGAGCGAUCCGCCCGAUGAGGUGCUCAUGUCCUAUCAGCUGGUUGGUGGGGUAACGGCCUACCAAGGCGACGACGGGUAGCCGGCCUGAGAGGGUGAACGGCCACACUGGAACUGAGAUACGGUCCAGACUCCUACGGGAGGCAGCAGUGGGGAAUAUUUGGGCAAUGGGGCAACCCUGACCCAGCGACGCCGCGUGGGGAAGACGGCCUUCGGGUUGUAAACCUCUUUGUUACGGGAAGAAGGAAGUGACGGUACUGUACGAAUAAGUCCCGGCUAACUACGUGCCAGCCGCCGC